GAUGAACGCUAGCGGCAGGCUUAAUACAUGCAAGUCGAGGGGUAGCAAGAUUGUAGCAAUACAAUUGUUGACGACCGGCAAACGGGUGCGGAACACGUACACAACCUUCCUACAAGUGGGGAAUAGCCCAGAGAAAUUUGGAUUAAUACCCCGUAACAUAGCGAUGUGGCAUCGCAUUGCUAUUAUAGCUUCGGCGCUUGUUGAUGGGUGUGCGGCUGAUUAGAUAGUUGGCGGGGUAACGGCCCACCAAGUCUACGAUCAGUAGCUGAUGUGAGAGCAUGAUCAGCCACACGGGCACUGGGACACGGGCCCGACUCCUACGGGAGUCAGCAGUAAGGAAUAUUGGACAAUGGACGCAAGUCUGAUCCAGCCAUGCCGCGUGAAGGAUUAAGGUCCUCUGGAUUGUAAACUUCUUUUAUAAGGGACGAAAAAAGGUCUUUCUAGAUCGUCUGACGGUACCUCAUGAAUAAGCACCGGCUAACUCCGUGCCAGCCGCCGCGGUAACAC
rnacentral:rRNA from 1 species